rnacentral:rRNA from 1 species
UCUUCUUCCUCUUUUAAAGUUUUUAUAUAUAAACUUGAUUUCAAUUUGUUUUCUUCCUCUUCUUUUUUCCUAUAUAAUAUUAUUUAGUUAAUUAGUAUUACUUAGUGGGGGGAUUUGGAUAAUAGUAUUAAACUUAACAGUAAUAAGAAGUAUUUUCAACCAAGCUUGUGCCAGCAGUUGUGGUUAUACAAGCGAGGGAAGGAAGGAGCGUGCGGUGGUAGUAAUUUGUUUAAUGUAUAAUGUUUCAUUGGAAUUAGGGUGGGUAAAAUCUGCUUGGUUAUUGUAUACAUAAUAUAUUAUAGUUAAAAUGCUAAUAAAAUUAAGAUUACACCUGGAUUAGAUACCCAGCUAUUCUAAAAGUAACAUUUUCACAUGAGUAGUAUUAGGGUGCUUGAACUUUAAUGAAUUUGGCGGUAUUUUAGGCUUGGUAGAGGAACUUGUUCUGUAAUCGAUAACCCUCGAUAAGGGAACUUUCUUUUGCUUUCAAUUUGUAUAUCGCUGUCGUCAGAGGGCUUUCUUAAAUGGUGCUUUCUAUUUUCAUAGUCUGAGGGACGUCAAGUCAAGGUGCAGUUCAUAAGGAAGGUUGAAUAAAUGAGUUACAAUAAAUGUAUUUAUUAACGGAAGAGGGGUGGAAAACUUUUAAUAAGGUGGAUUUAUUUGUAAGUGUUUACUAGUAUGGAGUACUGAAAAAGCUCUGAAAUAUGCACAUAUCGCCCGUCAUUCUUGUCUUUAGAUGAGACAAGUCGUAACAUAGUAGAGGUAUUGGAAAAUGUCUCUUGAAAGG